UCAGCGUCUCACGGACGGUAGUGUAGGGGCUUCUCGGCCCUAGGCCCCCUCCCGCUGCAGCAGCUCAUCAGAGCUUACCUCCUCCGUGGCGUGGAGGCGGCUGAGAGGUGGAGUGCAGCGCCUGGUGCAGAUGGGGUGGGGGCGGGAAUUGGCAUUGUCGCGCAGGGACUACAACUCCCAGAAUGCACCGCCCACUCGGGCUUCUCAGCUUCCCUCCUCUGGCCUCUCUACCUCGGUUUUGCUCUAGCAGCCUCAGUAGGAUGGCGAUGCGCUGGCCUUCUCCAAAGCCUUGGAGCUGGUUACCCCUCCUGCUGAGGUGCCAGUGAGAUUUCAGUCAUUAUUCCAUACACAGAGUCGUUUUGUUUCUAGCCGUGAUCGAUGAAUUACGCUGAGGGAGGAAAGAGGAGGCCGCUGCCUGAAAAACUGGUUGCUCGUGCAACGAGCCCUGUUAACGGGGGAGAAGGUUGGACAUUUGGGACUCGGAGGAAGGACUCAGGUCCCUGCCGAAGAGACGGAUCCCACUAUUCUAAAGUGAAAGAGCAACACUCCCCCGAUCUCCUUACUACGGAAUCUUGUUUGUUUCACUCUUCCUUUCUGGAUGCAGAGUGGUGCACCUGCUGCUUUCUGUGUGUGCAAUGUUCCUCCUCCACCAGCUCACCCUCUUCUUCAGCAGAAGGAAGACAGUCUGUAAAUGGGAUAUAUAAGUAAAUGUGUGUAGUGCUGGACAGUGAUAAAGGCUAAGAAACAAAAGUAACUGAAGACUGGAAGAGGACUGUAAAUGUUGGAAGGAGACUGAAGUUUUAGGUAAGUAUCUAGAAAGCCCCCACUAGAAAACCUGCAGGAAGUAGGGGGCAAAACAGAUCGCAGGGGAAAAGAGCAUUCCAGUGGAGGGAACCUGGAAGGCCAGAAGUGGAGGUGUGCCUGCAUGUUGAGGAACAAGGAAGGUAGUCCAACUAGAGUGGAGAAAAGAGCGUAGCAGGUGAUGGCAUCAGAGAAGUCAAGAGCAACCAAGUUGCACUGAGCCCGUGCAUGGUCAGAGUUAGGACCUCUGCUUUUCUUCUGAGUGGGAUGAGAGUCAUUUGCGAUGUCUUAGCAGAGAAGUGACUCACUUUUCAUGGGUUUGCCUUGACUGCUAUGUUGAGAGGAGACUGAAAGGGGGCAGGGCACAGCCGGUAGCCAAUUAGGAGGUGUCUUAGUCGAGGCCCAGCUGCUGUAACAAAAUACCUGGGACUGGACAAUUUCUAAACAAUCAAAACUGACUCUCAAAGUUCCAGAGGCUGGGAAGUCCAAGGUCAAGGCACCAGCAUAUUCUGUGUCUGGUGAGGGCCUGUUUCUCAUAGAUGGUGCCUCCUCUGUGUACUCGCAUGGCAGAAGACAAAAUGACCUAGCUAGUUCCCUGCAGCCCUUUCAUGAGGGCACUAAUCCCAUUCAUGGGGGUAGAAUCCUCAUGACCGAAUCACCUCCCAGAGAUCCCACCUUCUAGUACCAUCAGAUUGGGGUUUAAGUUCCAACAUACAGAUUUUAGAGGGACACACACAUUUAAACCAAAGCAGCACAUGAAAGAAGAGGGCACCUUGGAUCAUGGUAGUGUGAGUGAGGAAGGUGAGAAGUGAUAGAACUCUGAAUAUAUAUAGAUUUGAGAUGAAGUCUCACUCUCCCAGGCUGGAGUGC
ensembl:lncRNA